rnacentral:rRNA from 1 species
GGACUACCCGGGUAUCUAAUCCUGUUUGCUCCCCUAGCUUUCGUCUCUCAGCGUCAGUUGCGGUCCAGUGAGCCGCCUUCGCCUCUGGUGUUCCUGCAGAUAUCUACGCAUUUCACCGCUACACCUGCAAUUCCACUCACCUCUCCCGCACUCCAGCACGGCAGUUUCGAAAGCAGCCUCGGAGUUAAGCCCCGAGAUUUCACUCCCGACUUGCCGCACCGCCUACAGACCCUUUACGCCCAGUCAUUCCGAGCAACGCUGGCCCCCUACGUCUUACCGCGGCUGCUGGCAC